UGAUGAGCAGAGGGAGAGAGAACGUAAGGAUAUAAGUUACUUAAAAGAAGUUGCUCAUAAGGAAUUGGAAGAAAUACGCGCUGAAAAGCAUAAAAUAGAAAAAGAAAAGCAAGAAGUUGCUAAAAACAAGGAGAAGCUAGAGGGACAGCAAAUUGGAAUGCAAAAAGACAUUGAUGAGCUUGUGAUGCUUAGCAAUAAGCUUCGGGACCAACGGGAACAGGUUAUCAGGGACAGAAAUCUCUUCCUUACAUUUGUUGAGAAGCAUAAGAGCUGC
rnacentral:misc_RNA from 1 species